rnacentral:rRNA from 1 species
GACGAACGCUGGCGGCGUGCUUAACACAUGCAAGUCGAACGGAAAGGCCCUGCUUUUGUGGGGUGCUCGAGUGGCGAACGGGUGAGUAACACGUGAGUAACCUGCCCUUGACUUUGGGAUAACUUCAGGAAACUGGGGCUAAUACCGGAUAGGAGCUCCUGCUGCAUGGUGGGGGUUGGAAAGUUUCGGCGGUUGGGGAUGGACUCGCGGCUUAUCAGCUUGUUGGUGGGGUAGUGGCUUACCAAGGCUUUGACGGGUAGCCGGCCUGUGAGGGUGACCGGCCACAUUGGAACUGAGAUACGGCCCAGACUCCUACGGGAGGCAGCAGUGGGGAAUAUUGCACAAUGGGCGGAAGCCUGAUGCAGCGACGCCGCGUGCGGGAUGACGGCCUUCGGGUUGUAAACCGCUUUCGCCUGUGACGAAGCGUGAGUGACGGUAAUGGGUAAAGAAGCACCGGCUAACUACGUG